rnacentral:rRNA from 1 species
AGUGAACGCUGGCGGUAGGCCUAACACAUGCAAGUCGAACGGCAGCACAGUAAGAGCUUGCUCUUACGGGUGGCGAGUGGCGGACGGGUGAGGAAUACAUCGGAAUCUACUUUUUCGUGGGGGAUAACGUAGGGAAACUUACGCUAAUACCGCAUACGACCUACGGGUGAAAGCAGGGGAUCUUCGGACCUUGCGCGAUUGAAUGAGCCGAUGUCGGAUUAGCUAGUUGGCGGGGUAAAGGCCCACCAAGGCGACGAUCCGUAGCUGGUCUGAGAGGAGGAUCGGCCACACUGGAACUGGAACACGGUCCAGACUCCUACGGGAGGCAGCAGUGGGGAAUGUUGGACAAUGGGCGCAAGCCUGAUCCAGCCAUACCGCGUGGGUGAAGAAGGCCUUCGGGUUGUAAAGCCCUUUUGUUGGGAAAGAAAAGCAGCAGGUUAAUACCCCGCUGUUCUGACGGUACCCAAAGAAUAAGCACCGGCUAACUUCGUG